GGGGAAUAUUGCACAAUGGGGGAAACCCUGAUGCAGCGAUGCCGCGUGAACGAAGAAGGCUUUCGAGUCGUAAAGUUCUGUUCUUAGGGAAGAAAAUGACGGUACCUAAGGAGAAAGCACCGGCUAAAUACGUGCCAGCAGCCGCGGUAAUACGUAUGGUGCAAGCGUUGUCCGGAAUUACUGGGCGUAAAGAGUUCGUAGGCGGUCAAAUAAGUCAGGAGUGAAAGGCUACGGCUCAACCGUAGUGAGCUUUUGAAACUGUUUGACUUGAGUACUGGAGAGGAAAGUGGAAUUCCUAGUGUAGCGGUGAAAUGCGUAGAUAUUAGGAGGAACACCAGUGGCGAAGGCGGCUUUCUGGACAGUAACUGACGCUGAGGAACGAAAGCGUGGGGAGCAAAC
rnacentral:rRNA from 1 species